AAAGAAAAGAAAAGAAAAAGAAAGAAAGAAAGAAAGAAAGAAAGAAAGAAAGAAAGAAAAAGAAAGAGAAAGAAAGAAAGAAAGAAAGAAAGAAAGAAAGAAAGAAAGAAAGAAAGAAAGAAAGAAAGGAAAGAAAAAGAAGGAAAGCAAGCAAGGAAGCAAGUAGCCAAAGCCCUGGGAACCCAUCGAGGAAUGGCCCCGGAGGCAGAGUUACCCUCAGCCACAGGCCAGAGAUCAAACGUCGCUGAACCAGUGUGAGGAAAAGAAUGGCAGGCAGACGUCUUCUUUUUCCGCACACAGACUGUAAUCAGCUCUCCACAAGGUCAUCCCAGAACACCAAGGACAGUCCAGAUACCUCCAGGCUCUCCUCAGUAAUGGACGGAAGCAGUGGUGCAGAUAAUCUGCCCAAAUGGCGGGCUCCAGUUCUCCCUGGAUUCCAGGAACACCAUCUCCUUCCUCGUCCCUUCCAUCCCAGGGAAGGUUUACACUGAAAAUUUUUUGUGAUGAAAAGAUUUGAAGAAGAUGACAGGAGAUGGAGAAGCACCAGCUGAUCUGCAGACUCCAAGGAGGUCCCAGGAAGAGGUGUCAUCCACUAAGAUCUUCUGGGACAGGAAAGCCCUGUGAUACCUCUU
rnacentral:lncRNA from 10 species